UCCGGUUGAUCCUGCCAGAGGCCGCUGCUAUUCGGCUGGGACUAAGCCAUGCUAGUCUAGGGGCUUGUACCCCUUCGGGGGUGCAAGCACCGGCGGACGGCUCAGUAACACGUGGACAACCUGCCCUCGGGUGGGGGAUAACCCCGGGAAACUGGGGCUAAUCCCCCAUAGGUGAUGGGUGCUGGAAUGCCCCAUCUCCGAAAGCGCUCAGCGCCCGAGGAUGGGUCUGCGGCGGAUUAGGUAGUUGGUGGGGUAACGGCCCACCAAGCCUAAGAUCCGUACGGGCUGUGGGAGCAGGAGCCCGGAGAUGGACCCUGAGACAAGGGUCCAGGCCCUACGGGGCGCAGCAGGCGCGAAACCUCCGCAAUGCGGGAAACCGCGACGGGGUUAGCCGGAGUGCCCGUGCAUUGCACGGGCUGUCGGGGUGCCUAAACAGCACCCCAUAGCAAGGGCCGGGCAAGGCCGGUGGCAGCCGCCGCGGUAAGACCGGCGGCCCGAGUGGCGGCCACUCUUAUUGGGCCUAAAGCGUCCGUAGCCGGCCCAGUAAGUCCCCCGGGAAAUCUGGUCGCUUAACGAUCAGACUUCCGGGGGAUACUGCUGGGCUAGGGACCGGGAGAGGCCGAGGGUAUUCCCGGGGUAGGGG
rnacentral:rRNA from 1 species